GACGAACGCUAGCUACGUGCUUAACACAUGCAAGUCGAACGGAAACGCCCUGCAUGCAUUGUACUCGAGUGGCGAACGGGUGCGUACCACUGGGUUAAUCUGCCCUGCACUUCCCAUUACUCCUGGGUAACUUGGUCUAAUACCGGCUAGUACCCAUUUUUAGUGUGAUGAUUGGAAAGUUUUGUCUUUGUAGUAUGAGCUCGCGGCCUAUCAGCUUGUUUGUUUGGUGAUGGCCUCCCAAGGCGGCGCACGGUAGCCGGCCUGAGAAGGGGGACGGCCACACUGGGAAUGAGACUCGGCCCAGACGCCGACGGGAAGAAGCAGCGAGGAACAUUGGACAAUGGGCGCAAAGCUGAUGGCGCGAAGCCGCGUGGGUGAUGACUGACCUGGGGUUGUAAACGCCUAUCGCGAGGGACGAAGCUUUUUGUGAAGGUACCUUGAUAAGAAGCACCGGCUAACUACGUG
rnacentral:rRNA from 1 species